rnacentral:rRNA from 1 species
GACGAACGCUGGCGGCGUGCUUAACACAUGCAAGUCGAACGGAAAGGCCCUGCUUUUGUGGGGUGCUCGAGUGGCGAACGGGUGAGUAACACGUGAGUAACCUGCCCUUGACUUUGGGAUAACUUCAGGAAACUGGGGCUAAUACCGGAUAGGAGCUCCUGCUGCAUGGUGGGGGUUGGAAAGUUUCCGCGGUUGGGGAUGGACUCGCGGCUUAUCAGCUUGUUGGUGGGGUAGUGGCUUACCAAGGCUUUGACGGGUAGCCGGCCUGAGAGGGUGACCGGCCACAUUGGGACUGAGAUACGGCCCAGACUCCUACGGGAGGCAGAAGUGGGGAAUAUUGCACAAUGGGCGGAAGCCUGAUGCAGCAACGCCGCGUGCGGGAUGACGGCCUUCGGGUUGUAAACCGCUUUCGCCUGUGACGAAGCGUGAGUGACGGUAAUGGGUAAAGAAGCACCGGCUAACUACGUG